AAAUUUGUUCAAAUGUAUAUUAUUAACGGAUCUAUAGAUGGACAAGAUGGUGGUGUUAAUGUGCACUACAUAAGGUUCUAAAUGAAGUUAAUAGGAGGGUGUAGGUGAGGAGCUGCUGAACCACACACUCUGCUCUUGAAAAAUCAGAAGUUGGAUGGCAAAAUUUUCCAAAUAGUACACAAAGCUAGUCCUUAAAAUAUUCUCAUGGACAGCAAAAGUUGGAAUCUGCAGUUUCACUAAUGCACAGAUUAAAGGUACCAACUGAUGAGUAAAAUGGCACACCAGUGGGGUUGAUGGAAACCAUGUGACAGCAUGUGUGGUAGAAGAUGAAGUGCAGAAAGAGAUUAUAAAUUUACUGGUGUAGAUUUCUCAACUAUAUUUUUGGA